AACAAGAUGGCGACCGGCGCACGGGUGAGUAACACGUAUCCAACCUGCCGAUAACUCGGGGAUAGCCUUUCGAAAGAAAGAUUAAUACCCGAUGGUAUAAUAAAACCGCAUGGUUUAAUUAUUAAAGAAUUUCGGUUAUCGAUGGGGAUGCGUUCCAUUAGGCAGUUGGUGAGGUAACGGCUCACCAAACCUUCGAUGGAUAGGGGUUCUGAGAGGAAGGUCCCCCACAUUGGAACUGAGACACGGUCCAA
rnacentral:rRNA from 1 species